AUUUAAAAAUCUUAUACUAGGACUGAGCCAACAACUGCAAUCGUCAUGGGUCAGAAACCCCUGAGGCCUGCAACACCUGUAAUUGAUUUCAUAAUGUACGCAAGAAACAAUUAAACUUAAAUAAUUAUCAUUUUACUUUUCAUUUUCAGAUAAAGAAUGGCCGGAUGAACAGUAACACUGAAUUCAGCAUUCCAAACUAAUUUAUCCUUAAUUGGCGGAAGCCGGAAACAGGAUUGUGUUUCUUCCGCAUCUCAUAAUGAUCUCUCUACUAUGUACACCAGAUGUACAGUGUGCAGUGUACGAACACAUAGUGAACUGCACUGAAGUUGCUCCAUGAAACAUGCGGACAGAUGCAAAAAUUAAAUUCUCUUGGGACCACCUUCAAUCAUAUGGGAAAAUUACAGUGUGACAGUGACAUUUGAUGUAUUUUUUUACUCACCCUGUAAUUGUAAUUCUUAACAAGUAAUUGAUUACUUGCCUAAAACUACAUUUUGCAGCCUGAUUCA